rnacentral:rRNA from 1 species
GACGAACGCUGGCGGCGUGCUUAACACAUGCAAGUCGAACGGAAAGGCCCUGCUUUUGUGGGGUGCUCGAGUGGCGAACGGGUGAGUAACACGUGAGUAACCUGCCCUUGACUUUGGGAUAACUUCAGGAAACUGGGGCUAAUACCGGAUAGGAGCUCCUGCUGCAUGGUGGGGGUUGGAAAGUUUCGACGGUUGGGGAUGGUCUCGCGGCUUAUCAGCUUGUUGGUGGGGUAGUGGCUUACCAAGGCUUUGACGGGUAGCCGGCCUGAGAGGGUGACCGGCCACAUUGGGACUGAGAUACGGCCCAGACUCCUACGGGAGGCAGCAGUGGGGAAUAUUGCACAAUGGGCGGAAGCCUGAUGCAGCAACGCCGCGUGCGGGAUGACGGCCUUCGGGUUGUAAACCGCUUUCGCCUGUGACGAAGCGUGAGUGACGGUAAUGGGUAAAGAAGCACCGGCUAACUACGUG